UACGAAGGGGGCUAGCGUUGUUCGGAAUUACUGGGCGUAAAGGGCGCGCAGGCGGCCCUCCAAGUCAGGCGUGAAAGCCCCGGGCUCAACCCGGGAAUAGCGCUUGAGACUGGGGGGCUUGAGUUCGGGAGAGGAGAGUGGAAUUCCCAGUGUAGAGGUGAAAUUCGUAGAUAUUGGGAAGAACACCGGUGGCGAAGGCGGCUCUCUGGACCGACACUGACGCUGAGGCGCGAAAGUGUGGGGAGCAAACAGG
rnacentral:rRNA from 1 species